GAAAUGACCAGUCUGGCUUCGGGAACCAGGAAGAUCCGGAUAAAGACACUGUCUGCACUCUACUCAGAUGCCCUUUGAGUCUAUGCGCUGUUUCUGGGCUCAUCCUCCAGCCUCAACGUGUUUGCUGCCACACAGCAUGUCCUGUGGGACUGGAGAAAUAUGGAGAAUGCAGCACACUUGCUUCCUACUGAAGAUUAAAAUCAAAUUGUUUUGGGACAGCAGAGGAUGAAGAAACUCAUUUUGACUGAAGUUAUUGGAUGAGACAUGGCUGUGGACAACUUCAGAGAAGAUAUAUUUAAGCAGAACCUUAAACUUAUGUCAGAAUUUUUAAUCACCAGAGAUCAGCAAAGCCAAAGGCAUAUAGACUAUUUCUCAGAUGCACUUGUCAAGAUGAGAGAAUGUGGGCAGAGGAAAUCCCUGAAAAACCAGAUGGCAGAAGUUACUCAGAAGAAAUGAAAGGAUUUUCCAUUAUUCAAAUAGGAGGUGGAAGAGGAAGUGUGGGAGUAAUUACUGGAUUAAGAUCACUGAAAGACAAGAUUGUCUUUAAGGAAACAGAAGACUGAGAAGAAAAGAAGCUUGCUCAAGGUCACAUAGAGCUGGAAUUUAAAUUCAGAUCUAUUAUACUCUUAAGGACUGUGGAAGGAGCAAAAUCUGAUCCAGAGACUGUGGAUGCUGGAGGAGCGUCAAGGCUGGGAAAGUAACAUGCACUGUGUUCGCAAUCAACAGAAAAGAUAUUUUUAAACAAAAACAAUUUUCCAAGUUUCCAGGAAGAGAAACAAAAGGCUUUUCUAAAAUGAAAGAAACUGUUCUUCUCAUUCUGUGACUUUUAUGUCACUUGGACAACAAGCCAGUGCUUAGGAACGGUUAUUUUCCUGUCGACAUCGCUGCAUGGAUACUUCUUAGAAGAACAUAACAGCAUUAGCACUCAGUCCCAGGUUCUGCUCACCCUCCAAUGGCAGUCGUCUUCAAAAACAAUAAAGAUAUCUGUGCUUGGUCUCUCUGUCUUGAUUACACUGCAGGCACAACCUGUGUGGGGAAACAAUAUCCUGGAUCAUACUGAAGGUUCGCACAGAUGGAACAUUAGUGGGAGGGGUUGCCAGCUACUUCCCUGCCAACUUGUUAGUGCUGGAGACAUUAUCCUCUUAUUUUGCCAGUUUAACAGAAGAUCAGUCGUAAAGAUUCACUGUAGGCUCAGCAACAUAAUUAUUAUCUAUGGUCUCUGCAUUAACUGUGAGAAAACAUCAUAGUCUGAAUCUGCCUAAUUUCAAAUGCCAAGCUGUGCCCACAUUCAGCCCACAACUGAACCUGAAUACUCAAUAUAUCCUUAGCAUUGCUACUGUUGUCAUCAUGGUGGAUGUUAAGUACAGGUUUGCCCAAGCUAUGAUGUUUAAUUGUUGCCUUACUGCUUCUGUAUUUCUUCUGUUUCCCUGACCCUUUUCAACACCAGCCCCAUGCAAUUUAAAACUAUUAAAAAGGUAAAAAUCGGUGUCACAUUUAGUUCUGCUACUCAGUACAGAAGUGCCAAGCCCCUGCAAAUCUGGAAAACAAACUCCUUAACAGAUGGGCCACAUAAAGUUUACAACAUGUGCAAUGUGGGAGGUAGUAUGGCUCUGGGCAAGAAACAGAAGACUGGAAGUUUGGGAGCUCAGGGUUUUUGAAUUUGCUUUUGCUUUUUG
rnacentral:lncRNA from 1 species